rnacentral:rRNA from 1 species
ACUCCUACGGGAGGCAGCAGUGGGGAAUUUUGGACAAUGGGCGAAAGCCUGAUCCAGCAAUGCCGCGUGUGUGAAGAAGGCCUUCGGGUUGUAAAGCACUUUUGUCCGGAAAGAAAUCCUUGGCUCUAAUACAGUCGGGGGAUGACGGUACCGGAAGAAUAAGCACCGGCUAACUACGUGCCAGCAGCCGCGGUAAUACGUAGGGUGCGAGCGUUAAUCGGAAUUACUGGGCGUAAAGCGUGCGCAGGCGGUUUGCUAAGACCGAUGUGAAAUCCCCGGGCUCAACCUGGGAACUGCAUUGGUGACUGGCAGGCUAGAGUAUGGCAGAGGGGGGUAGAAUUCCACGUGUAGCAGUGAAAUGCGUAGAGAUGUGGAGGAAUACCGAUGGCGAAGGCAGCCCCCUGGGCCAAUACUGACGCUCAUGCACGAAAGCGUGGGGAGCAAACAGGAUUAGAUACCCGGGUAGUCCCA